GACGAACGCUGGCGGCGUGCUUAACGCAUGCAAGUCGAACGAUGAAGCCCAGCUUGCUGGGUGGAAGAGUGGCGAACGGGUGAGUAACACGUGAGUAACCUGCCUAUCACUCUGGGAUAAGCGCUGGAAACGGCGUCUAAUACUGGAUACGACCUAUCACCGCAUGGCGUGUGGGUGGAAAGAUUUAUCGGUGGUAGAUGGACUCGCGGCCUAUCAGCUUGUUGGUGAGGUAAUGGCUCACCAAGGCGACGACGGGUAGCCGGCCUGAGAGGGUGACCGGCCACACUGGGACGGAGACACGGCCCAGACGCCUACGGGAGGCAGCAGUGGGGAAUAUUGCACAAUGGGCGCAAGCCUGAUGCAGCAACGCCGCGUGAGGGACGACGGCCUUCGGGUUGUAAACCUCUUUUAGUAGGGAAGAAGCGUAAGUGACGGUACCUGCAGAAAAAGCACCGGCUAACUACGUGCCAGCCGCCGCCGUAA
rnacentral:rRNA from 1 species